rnacentral:rRNA from 1 species
CCGUAGCCCAAGAGAUCGGGAUAACACCUGGAAACAGAUGCUAAUACAGGAUAAUAACAGAUGAUGCCUAUCAACUGUUUAAAAGAUGGUUCUGCUAUCACUCUUGGAUGGACCUGCGGUGCAUUAGCUAGUUGGUAGGGUAACGGCCUACCAAGGCGAUGAUGCAUAGCCGAGUUGAGAGACUGAUCGGCCACAUUGGGACUGAGACACGGGCCCAAACUCCUACGGGAGGCAGCAGUC